CUAUCUAUCUGCAUACAUCUUAACUUCCUAUCACAUUAAACACUCAAGGCGAAGCUCCUAUUUUAUACACCUUUCUUUAGUUUUCUAAACCAUCUAACAAAAGACUUGGUUGAUGUGGAGGCAUUUAUUUCUGCAGCAGGGUAACAUUUUUUUUUAAUUCGGAAAAGAUAUUCUUUUGCUAUUCUAUGGAAAGGACUUCUCAUUAGCAGCUGAGGGAGCCCCCGGAUGCCUGAGCCCGAGGGCCGGCUCUCCCACUCCGGUAGCCGGCGUGGAUGCGCUGUGACAUCAUGCUUUCUUUGUCCUCCUGGCUACGCCUGGCCUGGUGCUGUUCCAUCAGGCACUGUCCUGUACCAGGUAAGCAGGUUCGUGUUGAUCUCAGACAACUUUGGUCUCAGAUCCCAACACAGGAGCUUGCUUUCUUGUGACGUUCUGGGCGUGAGCUGCCCCUUCUACACGGGAGGACAACAGCGGGGUUGCGGCCUCACAGAGCAGCUAAUCUUCCCUUGUUUCAGGCCACUUCACCCUUCAGAGCUCGGCUCUGUCCUCACUUCCUCUGGGAACACAUGGAUGCCCGUCCUGGAGAGGUCAAGGCCUCCCUCAGGGCACAGGUGCCUUUCUUGUACCUCACCUCUCCCAUUGGCAUUGCAUAUUUAUGUCUGAACACGUGACCAGUUUCUGUUUCCCUCCCCAAAUGAGCUCCAUGCAGAGGAAGACCCCCUCCCCCCCUUUCUGCUUGCAGUUCUUGCCCUGGCUCCUGGAAUACCUGACCUGAAAAGGUGCUGACUGAGAAACCUGUUAACCGAAGGAAUGAAGAAGAGAAUCCCAGGAUUGUUGUAGUAACUGAACGCCACAGCUGGCACAGGUCUGAGAUCUUUGACACUGGACUUCACCUUGCCACAUACAUCAACAAAAGGCUUUUAUAUUCAGCUGUGUCUCAACUGCUAUGCGGCUGACGGUAACCGAGAAGAGCCAAUGAUUUCAAGAUGCAUUAUGACUUCAAAGUAAAAAAAAUUGUAUGCAAACAGCCCACGUGUAACAAUGGAGUGGAAUACUGUACUGGAGACAACUUGUACCAGUGGGUGAGCAUCUAAGUUAGCAUCUCUUCCCAGCCUGCAUUUAGUCAUGUCAACUUGGUAGUGUGAAAUUAAUAAUGGUGGGAGUCUUUUAUACCAUGGAAAUCAGCAAACUUUAGAAAUUAGCAAACUGUAUAAUUGCAAAUCCCUCUCAUCUCUCUGCAUCCCACUUCAGAGUCACUUGUUAAAUGUCUGACAGCACAUGACUGAAUGAAACCGCCAAAGCCCAAACCAGAUCACGCCUCUGCGGAUACCUCAGCAAAUUCUUCCCUGUCUCCGGCUGAUCAGGAGGGGUCCCUGAGGUCUGGGGCUUUCUUCUUAAAGGAGCAAUAUGCAUUAUGUGACUAAUAUUCACAGACGAGCUAUCAGUUAACUGGGAGUAGGGGAACAGAAGCGCACGACCAAGAGAGACCACACACUGUCAAGAAGUGUGCAGUGUACUUGGCAAAGGGGACUGAAGGGUACCUGGUUGAUGCAAAUGAAAGGAAUCAAAGUGGGGUUUGAUGGACAACUCUUCAAGGGAUCAGAAACAUUUUAAAAUCUAUGGAAAAGCUAGGUAGCCUCUGGAAAUGGAGGAGAAACUCAAAUGCCCUUAAAAAAAAUCUUAGUAAGAAGUCAGCUUGACUCUACUUAUUCUGUCUGCCAUCUCAAUGCAAUUUCAAAUGUUUUUAGUCAUUGUGUGAGACACACGUUGAUACUGAGGCUGUUCCUGAAAGUUUGGCUGCUACAGCCUUACCUUGUUUAGUUCUUUUAUUGUCACCUGCAGAUCCCCUACUUCUGUUUCCUACUGACAUCUGAGAUCAGUGAGAGCUUCCUAAGCUUUGCAUUUUUCCUACAAGAAAAACAGAAAUAUUUUGUUGAUUUAAAUAGAUUCAACCCUUAAACAGCCUUCAAUACUCCGCAGGUGAAAACAUUUUGCAUCAAAUGAAAGCUGACCUCAAUUCUCCUACCUGAAGGGAGGGAGGAAUAGGAAGGGAUGAUAGAUAGAAACCAAAUAACUUUAAACAUGCAGGAGUUCUGGAGUUGGAGCCUGCAAAAGUGAAAAGAACUGUAGAAUCCCCACAACCUGCAUCCAUACAUCACCCUGGAGUGAUAACUCUGAGACCAUACCUACAUUGUGAUAAAGGGUAAUAGCACACCAGUUAAGUAAUGAUUACUACUAUUAGUUAAAAGAUAUGGCCCACCUAAGAGCUCCAAUAUGUGCCUAAAUCGUCAUGUCAUUAGGACUCAGGAAGGUAUAGUUAGUGGACGUGCCCUUUUUCUGAGAGUGCAUGCUUUACCUGAAAUCAAAUCCUAUCAUUGCAAAUUUCUAUGUAAAUGUGUCCCCAUAAGCUGGUUUUUCUUCAAAAUGUCCCUUCUCAUUUUUCUCUUAUUAAACUGUAUAAUUGCAAAUGCCCUGUUCAGAAUUCAAACAUCUUUAUGUUUAUAACCAGUGAAAUCUCAUGUAUAAAUAUUCACUGACAUAUCAAGAAUGGCCCCAUGGACACGGGGACAUUGCAAAUUGAUAUUCUAGUGGGGGAAGACAGAAAACAGAGAUGACUUCAGGGAAUGAUACUAAGAAAAACCGGAGAGAUAGGGCAGAAAACGGUCUGAGGGGGGUGAAGGUGGGUACCUCCCCCAAGGUGCACGAUCCCACUUGUUGCAGGAGGGGCUCCUACUGCCCUCUCACUGGCUGUUGAGCCUGUGCAAGCUGCUUAUCUUCCUUGCAUGCCUCCAUUUACUUAAUGGGUUAUUAUGAGGAUCUAUUAAAUAAUCCAAUUAAAUACUCCUUGACAAUUACAUGCUCCAUAUACGUUCAAAAAAUCUGUGUGAAAUGCUUAGUAGAAGAGCAAUGGUUUCCCUACUGGUACCCUUUUCUAAAGUGGCUAUCUGGGGGUCAGCACCGUGGCUCACUUGGCUAAUCCUCUGCCUGCAGUGCCAGUAUCCCAUAUUGGUGCCGGGUUCUAGUCCUGGUUGCUCCUCUUCCAGUCCAGCUCUCUGCUGUGGCCCGGGAGGGCAGUGGAGGAUGGCCCAAGUGCUUGCGCACCUGCACCCACGUGGGAGACCAGGAGGAAGCACCUGGCUCUUGGCUUUGGAUUGGCCAUUUGGGGGGUGAACCAACGGAAGGAAGACCUUUCUCUCUGCCUCUAACUCUGCCUGUCAAAAAAAAUUAAAAUAAAGUAAAGUGGCUAUCUGGAGUUCAUCCAGCUUUGCAAGGGAGGCAGGUAACAAGCAUUGCCUACUCCCAUAGGUAUAGGAAGACAGUGAGGUGCUAACUUAGGCAGUUUUUCUAGCGUCAAAACAGACCUGGAUGCAAGUCUUUCCACCCAGAUGUAACUACUUUUACCGUUUAAAAAUACUUUAUUAAAAAAUGAAUAAAGGAAAUGAACAUUCUGUAGCUUAUUCCAGUUCCAAUCUGUACAAGUAGAUGUGGGGGUGAGAUAAGAGGUUAUUGCAGCAAUGAGGUGAGAAAUGGUGGUGGCUGGGAGAAACUCUUCACAGAUUUGAGCACACUGCUCUGGAGGGAAUAUUUUACAAUUCCUGCAAUGAGACCAGAACUUGUCUGAUACCAAAAUCAGACAAAGACAUUAAAACUACAAGCCAUUACCUCAUGUGAGUUCAGAUGUAAAUAUGAUAAAUAAAAUUCAGCAAACUAAAUUCAAGAAUGUAUAUAAAGGAUAAUUCAUCAUGGCCAACUGGGGCCUAUCUCAAGAGCACAAGUUUGUUUUUACACCCAACAAUUAGUCAAUGCAAUUCAGCCAACAUAAUUCAAAACAAACUCUAAAAACAGAAAAGAAACCUGGUCACUUUAGUAGACACAGCAAAAGCACCUGACAAAACCCAAGACUUAUUCCUGAUUAAAACAACAACUGCAAUGACUCUCAGUGAACUAGGCACACAAAUAUAUAUAUUAAUAUAGGGGAUUUAU